rnacentral:rRNA from 1 species
GCCUUUAGGUUCGGAAUAACUCAGGGAAACUUGUGCUAAUACCGAAUGUGCCCUUCGGGGGAAAGAUUUAUCGCCUUUAGAGCGGCCCGCGUCUGAUUAGCUCGUUGGUGAGGUAAAGGCUCACCAAGGCUACGAUCAGUAGCUGGUCUGAGAGGAUGACCAGCCACAUUGGGACUGAGACACGGCCCAAACUCCUACGGGAGGCAGCAGUGGGGAAUCUUGCGCAAUGGGCGAAAGCCUGACGCAGCCAUGCCGCGUGGAUGAUGAAGGUCUUAGGAUUGUAAAAUCCUUUCACCGGUGAAGAUAAUGACUGUAGCCGGAGAAGAAGCCCCGGCUAACUUCGUGCCAGCAGCCGCGGUAAUACGAAGGGGGCUAGCGUUGCUCGGAAUUACUGGGCGUAAAGGGAGCGUAGGCGGACAUUUAAGUCAGGGGUGAAAUCCCGAGGCUCAACCUCGGAACUGCCUUUGAUACUGGGUGUCUUGAGUGUGAGAGAGGUAUGUGGAACUCCGAGUGUAGAGGUGAAAUUCGUAGAUAUUCGGAAGAACACCAGUGGCGAAGGCGACAUACUGGCUCAUUACUGACGCUGAGGCUCGAAAGCGUGGGGAGCAAACAGGAUUAGAUACCCUGGUAGU